CCCUUAGACGUUCUGGGCCGCACGCGCGCUACACUGACCAGUGCAACAAGCAUCCGUCCUUGGCCGACAAGCUCGGGCAAUCUUUGAACGCUGGUCGUGAUGGGGAUAGACUUUUGCAAUUUUUGGUCUUCAACGAGGAAUUCCUAGUAAACGCAAGUCAUCAACCUGCAUUGAUUACGUCCCUGCCCUUUGUACACACCGCCCGUCGCACCUACCGAUUGAAUGGUCCGGUGAAGCCUCCGGAUUGGCGCGCACCUCGGUGCCGCCGAGAAGUUGGCUAAACCUUACCAUUUAGAGGAAGGUGAAGUCGUAACA
rnacentral:rRNA from 1 species